UCAUGACAUGGAAACAAUAUAAUACCACCAAGGAUUUACAUUGAUAACGUAAACUAGUGUUAUACAAAAUAGAAUAACCUUUGAUAAAUGUAAAAAUAGAGAACAAUAAUACAACCAAAUCUGCACCCGCAGUUAUUUUGUUCAACUCUCCCACAACCCCCACCCAAAGUAAGCAUCUAAAAGAAAUAGUGAAACUUCAAUCACCGUAUUCCUUUCUUCCUUUUCAUUUUUUCUUAAAUUAAGUCCUAUAAUACAUUACUAUAUUAUAUGCAGUUUAAAUACUUGUGUGUAUAAAACAUCCUUAAGAUACUGUAAUGCCAUCUUUGUUUAUGCUAUGAGAGUUGGAAUCAAGGAGAUUCUCAAGU
rnacentral:misc_RNA from 1 species